CUUGGUCAUUUAGAGGAAGUAAAAGUCGUAAACAGGUUUCCGUAGGUGAACCUGCGGAAGGAUCAUUAACGAACAACGGGGUUCGCCCCUUGUCCACAAACACACCCCCGUGCACGUUGAAGGCCCGGCUCGUUGAGUGGGUGGGCGACCGCCCAGGAUUCGUAGCCUCGCUUUCUUACACAAACUUCAGAAUGUACAUCAGAAUGUCUUACGCGUGUAACGCAUCGUAAUAUAACUUUCAGCAACGGAUCUCUUGGCUCUCGCAUCGAUGAAGAACGCAGCGAAAUGCGAUAAGUAAUGUGAAUUGCAGAAUUCAGUGAAUCAUCGAAUCUUUGAACGCACCUUGCGCUCCUUGGCAUUCCGAGGAGCAUGCCUGUUUGAGUGUCAUGAAACUCUCAACCCCUGCCAUCUUUGCGGAUGAGCGUCGGUUGGAUUUUGGAGGUUGCCGGACUCGUUCGGCUCCCCUUGAAAGCAUAGUAAAGCUUGGACCUGACCGACCGGGUGGACGUGAUAGAAAGUCACCGUCGACCGAAGGGUCCGUCGCUGAACGGUUCAAGCUUUGUUUGUCGUCUUCGGACGAACAUCUCUGACCUCUGACCUCAAAUCAGGUAGGACUACCCGCUGAACUUAAGCAUAUCAAUAAGCGGAGGAAAAGAAACUAACGAGGAUUCCCCUAGUAACUGCGAGUGAAGCGGGAAAAGCUCAAAUUUAAAAUCUGGCGGUCUUUGGCCGUCCGAGUUGUAGUCUGGAGAAGCGUCUUCUACGCUGGACCGUGUACAAGUCUC
rnacentral:rRNA from 1 species